AUUGAACGCUGGCGGCAUGCUUUACACAUGCAAGUCGAACGGCAACAGGCCUUCGGGUGCUGACGAGUGGCGAACGGGUGAGUAAUGCAUCGGAACGUGCCCAAUCGUGGGGGAUAACGUGGCGAAAGUUACGCUAAUACCGCAUAAGCCCUGAGGGGGAAAGUGGGGGACCGCAAGGCCUCACGCGAAUGGAGCGGCCGAUGUCAGAUUAGCUAGUUGGUGGGGUAAAGGCCCACCAAGGCGACGAUCUGUAGCGGGUCUGAGAGGAUGAUCCGCCACACUGGGACUGAGACACGGCCCAGACUCCUACGGGAGGCAGCAGGUGGGUAAUUUUGGACAAGUGGGCGACAA
rnacentral:rRNA from 1 species